AAUAACUGAGAUCAUGCUUGGCAAUAUUGUUUAUCAUGUCAAGCAAGAGCAGAAUAGGAAAAGGUCAUCCCAUGGCACUUCAGGGUCAAGAUAAAGAAAAGAAUUUGUCCAAAAAGGAACCUCUCUAUAAGAGAAAGUAGGGGCAUUAUGGGAAAUUGACUCCAUCUAAUUAAUAAAAUUGACUCCAUCUAAUUAAUAAAAGUCCCAUCCCACCAUCUCCCCUUCAAGUGAGUACCCAAGCAGCAACCGCAACAUCACAGCACAGCAGCCAUUCAACCCCCUCCCUCCUUCUCUCUCUACCACCCAAGAGGGGAGAAGAGACCGAGAGGAGAAAAUUAAAAGAAUCUCCACCCUCCAAGAAGUCCAUUUCCAAUCCCCCUUUCUUCCAGAUGGCCCAGCUGGAUCAGGAGUAAUGUGAGGAAGGAAAACCAAGACCAAAACCAAACAAGAGAAGGGAUGAAAGAUAGGAGUGGCUUCAGGCGUGUAUCAAGCCAACCAAAUCCCUCCUCUCUCUCUCUC
rnacentral:lncRNA from 1 species